GACGAUAGAGCCGGGUGGUUAGGCCGGGGAUUGCAAAUCCUCUUAGGUGAGUUCGAUUCUCACUGUCGUCU
rnacentral:tRNA from 1 species